GACGGAGGAUGCAAGCGUUAUCCGGAAUUAUUGGGCGUAAAGCGUCCGCAGGUGGCUGUUCAAGUCUGCUGUCAAAGCGCAGAGCUUAACUCUGUACAGGCGGUGGAAACUGAAGAGCUAGAGUAUGGUAGGGGUAGAGGGAAUUCCCGGUGUAGCGGUGAAAUGCGUAGAUAUCGGGAAGAACACCAGUGGCGAAAGCGGCUCGCUGGACCGGUUCUGACGCUGAGGCGCGAAAGCGUGGGGAGCAAACGGG
rnacentral:rRNA from 1 species